rnacentral:rRNA from 1 species
UACGGGGGGAGCAAGCGUUGUUCGGAUUUAUUGGGCGUAAAGGGCGCGUAGGCGGCUUUGCAAGUGACGGGUGAAAUCCCUCGGCUUAACCGAGGAACUGCCUGUCAGACUGUGAGGCUUGAGACCGGGAGAGGUGAGUGGAAUUCCCAGUGUAGCGGUGAAAUGCGUAGAUAUUGGGAGGAACACCAGUGGCGAAGGCGGCUCACUGGACCGGAACUGACGCUGAGGCGCGAAAGCGUGGGGAGCAAACAGG